UACAGAGGUCCCGAGCGUUGUUCGGAUUCAUUGGGCGUAAAGGGUGCGUAGGCGGUCUGCUAAGUUUGAUGUGAAAUCCCGGGGCUCAACCCUGGAAUGGCAUUGAAUACUGGCGGACUAGAGUACCGGAGAGGAAACUGGAAUUUACGGUGUAGCAGUGAAAUGCGUAGAGAUCGUAAGGAAGACCAGUGGCGAAGGCGAGUUUCUGGACGGUAACUGACGCUGGAGGCACGAAGGCCAGGGGGAGCAAACGGG
rnacentral:rRNA from 1 species